rnacentral:rRNA from 1 species
UAGCGCACUUUGUGGCGAAGUUAACGCGAUAAGUCGACCGCCUGGGGAGUACGGCCGCAAGGUUAAAACUCAAAUGAAUUGACGGGGGCCCGCACAAGCGGUGGAGCAUGUGGUUUAAUUGGAUGCAACGCGAAGAACCUUACCUACUCUUGACAUCCUGCGAGUUUGUGAGAGAUCACUUGGUGCCUUCGGGAGCGCAGAGACAGGUGCUGCAUGGCUGUCGUCAGCUCGUGUUGUGAAAUGUUGGGUUAAGUCCCGUAACGAGCGCAACCCUUGUCCUUAUUUGCCAGCGGGUAAUGCCGGGAACUCUAAGGAGACUGCCGGUGACAAACCGGAGGAAGGUGGGGACGACGUCAAGUCAUCAUGGCCCUUACGAGUAGGGCUACACACGUGCUACAAUGGCCGGUACAAAGGGUUGCGAGCUCGCGAGAGUCAGCUAAUCCCGAAAAGCCGGUCUCAGUCCGGAUCGGAGUCUGCAACUCGACUCCGUGAAGUCGGAAUCGCUAGUAAUCGUGAAUCAGAAUGUCACGGUGAAUACGUUCCCGGGCCUUGCACACACCGCCCG